UACGUAGGGGGCCAGCGUUGUCCGGAUUUACUGGGCGUAAAGCGCGCGUAGGCGGAACGUUAAGUCCGGUCUGAAAGCCCCCGGCUCAACCGGGGAGGGUCACGCGAUACUGCUCGACUCGAAGGCAGGAGAGGGAAGUGGAAUUCCCGGUGUAGUGGUGAAAUGCGUAGAUAUCGGAAGGAACAUCAGUGGCGAAAGCGGCUUCCUGGUCCAGCACCGACGUCAGGCACGAAAGCGUGGGGAGCAAACAGG
rnacentral:rRNA from 1 species